rnacentral:rRNA from 1 species
AAUUCGAAGCAACGCGAAGAACCUACCAGGCCUUGACAUGCAGAGAACUUUCCAGAGAUGGAUUGGUGCCUUCGGGAACUCUGACACAGGUGCUGCAUGGCUGUCGUCAGCUCGUGUCGUGAGAUGUUGGGUUAAGUCCCGUAACGAGCGCAACCCUUGUCCUUAGUUACCAGCACGUUAUGGUGGGCACUCUAAAGGGACUGCCGGUGUUAAACCGGAGGAAGGUGGGGAUGACGUCAAGUCCUCAUGGCCUUUAUGACCAGGGCUACACACGUACUACAAUGGCCGAUACAAAGGGCAGCGACACUGCGAGGUGAAGCCAAUCCCGUAAAAUCGGUCUCAGUCCGGAUUGGAGUCUGCAACUCGACUCCAUGAAGUUGGAAUCGCUAGUAAUCGUGGAUCAGCAUGCCACGGUGAAUACGUUCCCGGGCCUU